rnacentral:rRNA from 1 species
AUUGAACGCUGGCGGCGUGCUUAACACAUGCAAGUCGUGCGGUAACAGGCGUAGCAAUACGUGCUGACGAGCGGCGAACGGGUGCGUAAUACAUGGGAAUCUGCCCUUUAGUGGGGAAUAACCCGGCGAAAGCCGGGCUAAUGCCGCAUAAGAUCUUCGGAUGAAAGCGGGGGAUCGUAAGACCUCGCGCUGAUGGAUGAGCCCAUGUCGGAUUAGCAGUUGGUGAGGUAACGGCUCACCAAGGCGACGAUCCGUAGCUGGUCUGAGAGGACGGCCAGCCACACUGGGACUGAGACACGGCCCAGACUCCUACGGGAGGCAGCAGUGGGGAAUAUUGGACAAUGGGCGAAAGCCUGAUCCAGCGACGCCGCGUGUGUGAAGAAGGCCUGCGGGUUGUAAAGCAC